rnacentral:rRNA from 1 species
CCUACGGGUGGCAGCAGUAGGGAAUCUUCCACAAUGGACGAAAGUCUGAUGGAGCAACGCCGCGUGAGUGAAGAAGGGUCUCGGCUCGUAAAGCUCCGUUGGUAGUGAAGAAAGAUAGAGGUAGUAACUCGCCUUUAUUUGACGGUAAUUACUUAGAAAGUCAAGGCUAACUACGUGCCAGCAGCCGCGGUAAUACGUAGGUGGCAAGCGUUGUCCGGAUUUAUUGGGCGUAAAGCGAGUGCAGGCGGUUCAAUAAGUCUGAUGUGAAAGCCUUCGGCUCAACCGGGGCAUUGCAUCAGAGACUGUUGAGCUUGAGUGCAGAAGAGGAGGGUGGAACGCAAGGUGUAGCGGUGGAAUGCAUAGAGAUCUGGAAGAACACCGAUUGCGAAGGCGGCUCUCUGGUCUGCAACUGACGCUGAGGCACGAAAGCAUGGGUAGCGAACAGGAUUAGAUACCCUAGUAGUC